GCCCCGCCUCGCCGCCCUUCCCCCGCCGCUCUCGGCUCUGCCCCCUCCCCGCCCCGACCCCGCCUCCAGGCCCAUCUCCGCCCCUCCCCCUCCCCCUCCCCCUCUGCCCUCCAGCCCUCCCCGCUCGGCGCCCCGCCCAGCCCCUCCCCUUCACCCUCCCCGCCCAGUGUCCGCGCGGCGCGGGGAGGAGGAGUCAGGACGCGCGGACACCUGCGGGACGCGGGGCGCGGAGCUCGGCGGUCGCGGGAGGGCAGCACCACGGGCGGCAGGUGCGCGCGGAGCGGGGAGGGGCGCGGGGGGCGGGGAGGGGUCUCGGGGCGCCGGGAGGGGGCUCGGUGGGCGCUGCCGGAGGAGGAGGAGGGUCGGGCGGGGCGGAGUCGUCUCCCCCGGGUCCCUCAGCCCGGCUGGGGACAGACGCUGGGACCAGGCUCGCGGUCAGGGCGGCCUGGGAUCGGCCCCCGCGGCUCCUGCUCAGGGUCCUGCUCUGGGGAACUUCGAGGCCUCCGGUCUGGGGGGCUCGGAAUGGGAGUGGAGGAGCCCCCGCGAGCAUCCAGGCGUCCAGGCUCCCUCCGCAUUGUCACGGGGCUCCUGUCACACCCGGCAGGUGUCACCCCCGGGACGGGCUUCUCCCGAUGUUCCCGUGGGCACCUCCUAGGGCCACCCCGGGAGCUCUGCCCACUCCUUCCUGCCAGGGCGCUGGGGACCAGGGUCGGGGUGGCUUCUAGGGCUGGAGGGGAGGGAACCUGGGGUCGUCCGCACCUGCAUCUUUCAUCUGCCUGUCCCAGGCGGAGGGCAGGAAGGCGCACCGCGGGCUGGGCCGGCCUCUCCCAGGAGCUCCCAGGAGCUCCUUUCCACCUGCCGUGCUUGCUGUGGGCCCUCUGUGGCUCUUCCCCAGCUGCGGGCCCCCGGCCUGGCUUCAGACCCUUGUAUAGGAUUCUGCCGGAGGGCUGGGCUCGAGAGGACUCCAGAGCCCAGGCAGGCUCAUCCCAGGAAACUCCCGCCCGACA
rnacentral:lncRNA from 1 species